rnacentral:rRNA from 1 species
UGUCGUCAGCUCGUGUCGUGAGAUGUUGGGUUAAGUCCCGCAACGAGCGCAACCCUUGUCAUUAAUUGCCAUCAUUUAGUUGGGCACUUUAAUGAGACUGCCGGUGACAAACCGGAGGAAGGUGGGGAUGACGUCAAGUCCUCAUGGCCCUUAUGGGUAGGGCUUCACACGUCAUACAAUGGUCGGUACAGAGGGUUGCCAAGCCGCGAGGUGGAGCCAAUCCCAGAAAGCCGAUCGUAGUCCGGAUCGCAGUCUGCAACUCGACUGCGUGAAGUCGGAAUCGCUAGUAAUCGCGGAUCAGCAUGUCGCGGUGAAUACGUUCCCGGGUCUUGUACACACCGCCCGUCACACCAUGGGAGUGGGUUCUACCAGAAGUAGUUAGCCUAACCGUAAGGAGGGCGAUUACCACGGUAGGAUUCAUGACUGGGGUGAAGUCGUAACAAGGUAGCCGUAUCGGAAGGUGCGGCUGGAUCACCUCCUUUCUAG